rnacentral:rRNA from 1 species
GACGNUGNGGCGNGAAAGNGUGGGGGAGCGANCAGGAUUAGAUACCCUGGUAGUCCACGCCGUAAACGAUGAGUGCUAAGUGUUAGAGGGGUUUCCGCCCUUUAGUGCUGCAGCAAACGCAUUAAGCACUCCGCCUGGGGAGUACGGUCGCAAGACUGAAACUCAAAGGAAUUGACGGGGGCCCGCACAAGCGGUGGAGCAUGUGGUUUAAUUUGAAGCAACGCGAAGAACCUUACCAGGUCUUGACAUCCUCUGACAACCCUAGAGAUAGGGCUUCCCCUUCGGGGGCAGAGUGACAGGUGGUGCAUGGUUGUCGUCAGCUCGUGUCGUGAGAUGUUGGGUUAAGUCCCGCAACGAGCGCAACCCUUGAUCUUAGUUGCCAGCAUUCAGUUGGGCACUCUAAGGUGACUGCCGGUGACAAACCGGAGGAAGGUGGGGAUGACGUCAAAUCAUCAUGCCCCUUAUGACCUGGGCUACACACGUGCUACAAUGGGCAGAACAAAGGGCAGCGAAGCCGCGAGGCUAAGCCAAUCCCACAAAUCUGUUCUCAGUUCGGAUCGCAGUCUGCAACUCGACUGCGUGAAGCUGGAAUCGCUAGUAAUCGCGGAUCAGCAUGCCGCGGUGAAUACGUUCCCGGGCCUUGUACACACCGCCCGUCACACCACGAGAGUUUGUAACACCCGAAGUCGGUGAGGUAACCUUUUGGAGCCAGCCGCCGAAGGUGGGACAGAUGANNGGGGNGAAG